rnacentral:tRNA from 1 species
GGAGGAGUAUCGAAGAGGUCAUAACGAGCUCGACUCGAAAUCGAGUUGGCGUGAUGAGCGCCACGUGGGUUCGAAUCCCACCUCCUCCGCCA